rnacentral:rRNA from 1 species
CCUACGGGCGGCUGCAGUGGGGAAUAUUGGACAAUGGGGGCGACCCUGAUCCAGCCAUGCCGCGUGUGUGAAGAAGGCCCUCGGGUUGUAAAGCACUUUCAGUGAGGAAGAACGCCUGGUGGUUAAUACCCAUCAGGAAAGACAUCACUCACAGAAGAAGCACCGGCUAACUCCGUGCCAGCAGCCGCGGUAAUACGGAGGGUGCGAGCGUUAAUCGGAAUUACUGGGCGUAAAGCGCGCGUAGGUGGCUUGAUAAGCCGGUUGUGAAAGCCCCGGGCUCAACCUGGGAACGGCAUCCGGAACUGUCAAGCUAGAGUGCAGGAGAGGAAGGUAGAAUUCGCGGUGUAGCGGUGAAAUGCGUAGAGAUCGGGAGGAAUACCAGUGGCGAAGGCGGCCUUCUGGACUGACACUGACACUGAGGUGCGAAAGCGUGGGUAGCAAACAGGAUUAGAUACCCUUGUAGUC